GGGUACACGAGCGGCGAACGGGUGAGUAACACGUGGGUGAUCUGCCUCGCACUCUGGGAUAAGCCUGGGAAACUGGGUCUAAUACCGGAUAUGACCUUACAUCGCAUGGUGUUUGGUGGAAAGAUUUAUCGGUGCGAGAUGGGCCCGCGGCCUAUCAGCUUGUUGGUGGGGUAAUGGCCUACCAAGGCGACGACGGGUAGCCGGCCUGAGAGGGCGACCGGCCACACUGGGACUGAGACACGGCCCAGACUCCUACGGGAGGCAGCAGUGGGGAAUAUUGCACAAUGGGCGAAAGCCUGAUGCAGCGACGCCGCGUGAGGGAUGACGGCCUUCGGGUUGUAAACCUCUUUCGACAGGGACGAAGCGCAAGUGACGGUACCUGUAGAAGAAGCACCGGCCAACUACGUGCCAGCAGCCGCGGUAAUACGUAGGGUGCGAGCGUUGUCCGGAAUUACUGGGCGUAAAGAGCUUGUAGGCGGCUUGUCGCGUCGAUCGUGAAAACUUGGGGCUCAACCCCAAGCUUGCGGUCGAUACGGGCAGGCUUGAGUACUUCAGGGGAGACUGGAAUUCCUGGUGUAGCGGUGAAAUGCGCAGAUAUCAGGAGGAACACCGGUGGCGAAGGCGGGUCUCUGGGAAGUAACUGACGCUGAGAAGCGAAAGCGUGGGUAGCGAACAGGAUUAGAUACCCUGGUAGUCCACGCCGUAAACGGUGGGUACUAGGUGUGGGUUUCCUUCCACGGGAUCCGUGCCGUAGCUAACGCAUUAAGUACCCCGCCUGGGGAGUACGGCCGCAAGGCUAAAACUCAAAGGAAUUGACGGGGGCCCGCACAAGCGGCGGAGCAUGUGGAUUAAUUCGAUGCAACGCGAAGAACCUUACCUGGGUUUGACAUACACCGGAAACCUGCAGAGAUGUAGGCCCCCUUGUGGUCGGUGUACAGGUGGUGCAUGGCUGUCGUCAGCUCGUGUCGUGAGAUGUUGGGUUAAGUCCCGCAACGAGCGCAACCCUUAUCUUAUGUUGCCAGCGCGUAAUGGCGGGGACUCGUGAGAGACUGCCGGGGUCAACUCGGAGGAAGGUGGGGACGACGUCAAGUCAUCAUGCCCCUUAUGUCCAGGGCUUCACACAUGCUACAAUGGCCGGUACAGAGGGCUGCGAUACCGUGAGGUGGAGCGAAUCCCUUAAAGCCGGUCUCAGUUCGGAUCGGGGUCUGCAACUCGACCCCGUGAAGUUGGAGUCGCUAGUAAUCGCAGAUCAGCAACGCUGCGGUGAAUACGUUCCCGGGCCUUGUACACACCGCCCGUCACGUCAUGAAAGUCGGUAACACCCGAAGCCGGUGGC
rnacentral:rRNA from 1 species